UCUUGUAACAGUAGUAAGAUAAUUGAAAAUGCAAAUAUUUCAAAUAAGGAAAAUGAAGAUUCCAUGAAUCAAAGUGAAUCAAUUCAUAAAGAAACUACACCUAAAUUAAUGCAACUUGAAACAACACCAAGCAGAAAACUUCGAAAAUCAAAAUCUGCUAAAACACUGCAAGAAUUCCAAGCUAAAGUCUUCUAUCCCAAGAAAAUUGAUAGUAACUGUGAACAAAAUUUAUACAAAAAACGAAAACGUUGCAGUUCUUUAAAAUCCUUUGAUAAGACAAAUGAAUAUAAGACUGGAAUUACCGAUGC
rnacentral:lncRNA from 1 species